AGGAACUGGAGCCGGUCGCUGAGCAUGUAGCGGGCUUUAUUAAUUUAGAGUAGUCUCGGGUCACUGUAUUGACUUGUAAUUUUACCGAUAGACUUGAUGUGUCUGAACAAGUAUAUGCUAUUUCUCUUGGGGUGACAACCAUUGUAUAAAUGAGUGUUUUCUUGUAGAUCUCCAAUGGCUAGUCUUGUGAGUAGUCUUUCAUGUAGGCCCCAAUUCCUGCAGAUGGUUGUGGAGAGUGCGUAUGUGAUCGUAGUG
rnacentral:lncRNA from 1 species